AGUGAACGCUGGCGGUAGGCCUAACGCAUGCAAGUCGAACGGCAGCACAGUAAGAGCUUGCUCUUACGGGUGGCGAGUGGCGGACGGGUGAGGAAUACAUCGGAAUCUACUUUUUCGUGGGGGAUAACGUAGGGAAACUUACGCUAAUACCGCAUACGACCUACGGGUGAAAGCAGGGGAUCUUCGGACCUUGCGCGAUUGAAUGAGCCGAUGUCGGAUUAGCUGGUUGGCGGGGUAAAGGCCCACCAAGGCGACGAUCCGUAGCUGGUCUGAGAGGAUGAUCAGCCACACUGGAACUGAGACACGGUCCAGACUCCUACGGGAGGCAGCAGUGGGGAAUAUUGGACAAUGGGCGCAAGCCUGAUCCAGCCAUACCGCGUGGGUGAAGAAGGCCUUCGGGUUGUAAAGCCCUUUUGUUGGGAAAGAAAAGCAGCAGGUUAAUACCCCGCUGUUCUGACGGUACCCAAAGAAUAAGCACCGGCUAACUUCGUG
rnacentral:rRNA from 1 species